rnacentral:lncRNA from 10 species
ACCAAAGUACACAAAAUAUAUAUUAUAUACUGUACAUAAAAUAUCAAAGUACACCAAAUACAUAUUAUAUACUGUACAUAAAAUAUCAAAGUACACCAAAUACAUAUUAUAUACUGUUCAUAAAAUAUCAAAGUACACAAAUUACAUGUUAUAUACUGUACAUAAAAUAUCAAUGUGCACCAAAUACAUAUUAUAUACUGUACAUAAAAUAUCAAAGUACACAAAAUACAUAUUAUACACUGUACAUAAAAUAUCAAAGUACACCAAAUAUAUAUUAUAUACUGUACAUAAAAUAU